GAUGAAGAACGCAGCGAAAUGCGAUAAGUAAUGUGAAUUGCAGAAUUCCGUGAAUCAUCGAAUCUUUGAACGCACAUUGCGCCCCCUGGUAUUCCGGGGGGCAUGCCUGUCCGAGCGUCAUUACAACCCUCAAGCUCAGCUUGGUGUUGGGCCCCGCCGCCCCGGCGGGCCCUAAAGUCAGUGGCGGUGCCGUCCGGCUCCGAGCGUAGUAAUUCUUCUCGCUCUGGAGGUCCGGUCGUGUGCUCGCCAGCAACCCCCAAUUUUUUUCAGGUUGACCUCGGAUCAGGUAGGGAUACCCGCUGAACUUAAGCAUAUCAAUAGGCGGAGGA
rnacentral:misc_RNA from 1 species